rnacentral:lncRNA from 1 species
AAACAAUAAAGUAAAUAAAAGAAAGUAAAGAAAUAAAAAGAAAAGAAAAGAAACAGAAUAGAAAGAACAAAGAAACAGAGAAGCAAAAGAAACGAGGGAAGAAAGAAGAAAAAAAGAAAGAAAAAGGGGAAAAUAGAUUUUUAAAGCUUAGAGUUAAUUUGGUAAGUCAAUUAAGCCCUUUUUAUUUAGUUUUGAUGAUUUAGAAGUUUUAAAACAAAGUUUUGAUGAAAUUAAGUUGAUAUUUUGGAAGUUUAUAGUUGUUUUUAAGCAUGAUUCAUGUUGAAUAAAUUGUUGAAUUAGGGAUUUAAUUGAAUAAAUUUCAAGUUAGAAUUGAUAAAAGGAUUAAAUUGUAAAAGAAACUAUAAGUUUUAUGUGUUAGGGACUAAAAUUAGAGAAAUUUGAAAUUAGGAAAAUAUGCUGAAAUUUUAAUAGUUAAAUUUGAGUUUGGAUGAAAUUUGAAUAAAAAUAGAGUGUGAAUUGAAUUAGGAAAGUAAGUGAAUUUAGUUAGGAUUAAAUUGAGAAUAAGGAAGAAAUUGAAUAGAAAUUCAAUUAUUUAUUAUAAUUAGUGCUGUAAUUAAUAGUAUAAAUUACUAUUAUUUUCGUAGCUAACAAAGAACCCGAGGCAUCGGCAUCAAAAGGAAAAGGGAAAGCUAUCGAGGACUAAAGCAGGAGAUUUACGGUUUGUAUUACUAUAAUUCAAAUUAUUUAUUUUUAAAUGUUAAAUUUUAAUUUAUGUGUUUAGUAAAGGAAAUGUGAGGUAAGUAUUAAUAUUAGUAUUAGUAAUAGUAUUAUUAUUAUUAAGAUGAGUGGGAAUUAAUUUGAAUAGUUGAUAUGAAUUAAUAUUUGAAUUGUUUGUUGAUUGAAAGUGGGAAGUGAAUUUAAAUCGAAUAGUGACCGAUAUUAAAUUGAAUGGAAAUGUAUUGAGUUGUGAAAAUGUGUGAAUUGCGGAUUAAUUAUUGAUUGAAAGGUGG